rnacentral:rRNA from 1 species
UAAGGAAUAUUGGACAAUGGAGGCAACUCUGAUCCAGCCAUGCCGCGUGAAGGAAUAAGGCCCUAUGGGUUGUAAACUUCUUUUAGACGGGACAAAACCCCUUUACGUGUAAAGGGUUGAUGGUACUGUCAGAAUAAGCAUCGGCUAACUUCGUGCCAGCAGCCGCGGUAAUACGAAGGAUGCAAGCGUUAUCCGGAAUUAUUGGGUUUAAAGGGUGCGUAGGCGGACUAAUAAGUCAGUGGUGAAAGCCUGCAGCUUAACUGCAGAAUUGCCAUUGAUACUGUUAGUCUUGAGUACAGUUGAGGUAGGCGGAAUGUGUCCUGUAGCGGUGAAAUGCUUAGAUAUGACACAGAACACCGAUUGCGAAGGCAGCUUGCUAAGCUGUAACUGACGCUGAGGCACGAAAGCGUGGGGAGCAAACA